AUACGGAGGAUCCGAGCGUUAUCCGGAUUUAUUGGGUUUAAAGGGAGCGUAGGCGGAUUAUUAAGUCAGUUGUGAAAGUUUGCGGCUCAACCGUAAAAUUGCAGUUGAUACUGGUAGUCUUGAGUGCAGCAGAGGUAGGCGGAAUUCGUGGUGUAGCGGUGAAAUGCUUAGAUAUCACGAAGAACUCCGAUUGCGAAGGCAGCUUACUGGACUGUAACUGACGCUGAUGCUCGAAAGUGUGGGUAUCAAACAGGAUUAGAUACCCUGGUAGUCCACACAGUAAACGAUGAAUACUCGCUGUUUGCGAUAUACAGCAAGCGGCCAAGCGAAAGCAUUAAGUAUUCCACCUGGGGAGUACGCCGGCAACGGUGCAACUCAAAGGAAUGGGCGGGG
rnacentral:rRNA from 1 species